GACGAACGCUGGCGGCGUGCUUAACACAUGCAAGUCGAACGGAAAGGCCCUGCUUUUGUGGGGUGCUCGAGUGGCGAACGGGUGAGUAACACGUGAGUAACCUGCCCUUGACUUUGGGAUAACUUCAGGAAACUGGGGCUAAUACCGGAUAGGAGCUCCUGCUGCAUGGUGGGGGUUGGAAAGGUUCGGCGGUUGGGGAUGGACUCGCGGCUUAUCAGCUUGUUGGUGGGGUAGUGGCUUACCAAGGCUUUGACGGGUAGCCGGCCUGAGAGGGUGACCGGCAACAUUGGGACUGAGAUACGGCCCAGACGCCUACGGGAGGCAGCAGUGGGGAAUAUUGCAAAAUGGGCGGAAGCCUGAUGCAGCAACGCCGCGUGCGGGAUGACGGCCUUCGGGUUGUAAACCGCUUUCGCCUGUGACGAAGCGUGAGUGACGGUAAUGGGUAAAGAAGCACCGGCUAACUACGUG
rnacentral:rRNA from 1 species